rnacentral:rRNA from 1 species
UACGGAGGGGGCUAGCGUUGUUCGGAAUUACUGGGCGUAAAGCGCACGUAGGCGGCUUUGCAAGUUAGAGGUGAAAGCCCGGGGGCUCAACUCCGGAAUUGCCUUUAAAACUGCAUCGCUAGAAUUGUGGAGAGGUAAGUGGGAAUUCCGAGUGGUGGAGGUGAAAAUUCGUAGAUAUUCGGAAGAACACCAGUGGCGAAGGCGACUUACUGGACACAUAUUGACGUGAGGUGCGAAAGCGUGGG